AUUAGCCUCCCGGGUUCACCUGCAAACAGAGCACAAAAAUACCUGAGCAACCAACAUGCAGCUACACUCUCAGCCAUUCAACAGAUAGAAAAGGGCAGACCCUGUGUCAGAGACUCCCACAUGAGUGGUGUCUUGGGAAGGGAUAAACCGAGGCAAGCAUCCCCCGUAAAUACAGAGAAGCUGCUUCAAACUUGUGACUCAGUAAGACAAGACCUCUCUCACCACUGCAGCAGGUCCUCCUAUGCAACAGAUAGAAAAAUGUGGGGGGCGUGGGAUCCCAACCAAUUCCUACUAUUUCUGCACAUUUAGAUCCAGUUAAACAUACUGGGAGCUGAUUUUCCUUCAUAACUAAUAUGGAGAGACCCUUCUCCCUCAUAUUCCUAAAAUUGGUAGUUCUGAACAAGUUUUAUCCACUUGAAGCUGGCCGACUAACAGAAACACCAAGAACCAAAUUUGACGGUUCACACUUCCCAACUAAUAAAAUACUCAAAGAAAGUAUAUACAAAGGAAAGGAAGUGAAACAACUUUUUCAAUGUUUGGAGAAGUUCACAUUAGUAUGAAAAAUAACGAAGUGAGAAACACUUGAACAGCAGGGUAAAGUAUGGCACAAUGAUAAACACAAAGGGAUAUAUAGUUCAAGUGAUUCUUGACCUGCUUUUUCAGAUUCUAGUUC
rnacentral:misc_RNA from 1 species